AGUUAGACCAAGCUGAAAUGAGAAGCUAGAGAAGAAGAAAAGUGAACUCUGAGUCCAUCUGUCUGAUGAAAUAAACCAUCUGUUAAAAUAACUACCCAAAGCUGGCUACAACCUCCUACAAUGAAAGCAAGGAGCUUAUGAAUGAAAAACCCAUGAGAGCAAAAGCACCAGCUGUGAGGUGGAGAAAGUGAAGGGGAUGGGAAAAAAAAUGGUAAUGAAACCAAAUGAUCGGAUCGUACUGACAUCUGGGGGCUGGUUGGAUCGGCGGAAAUGCAUAACAUCUGUUGUGCUCCCAUUUGUUGAAAGAAUAAGUUCACCUCAUAACCAGGCCUGCUGGAGGAACUGAAGACGACUUUUGCAGAUGCAGACCCUGAGUGUAUAAAGGCAUGCUGUAGGACUUACUAUGAAACAUUGCGGAGGAAAUACUCUUUGUCUCAGCCAGGAAAGUCCCAGCUAAGAGACUCCAUUAAAAUAGGGGCUAAAA